rnacentral:rRNA from 1 species
GACGAACGCUGGCGGCGUGCUUAACACAUGCAAGUCGAACGGAAAGGCCCUGCUUUUGUGGCUUGCUCGAUUGGCGAACAGGUGAGUAACACGUGAGUAACAUGCACUUGACUUUGGGAUAAAUUCACGAAACUCGGGCUAAUACCGGAUAUGAGCUCCUGCUGCAUGGUGUGGGUUGGAAAGAUUCGGCGGUGGGGGAUGGCCUCGCGGCUUAUCAGCCUGUUGGUGGGGUAGUGGCUUACCAAGGGUAUGACGGGUAGCCGGCCUGAGAGGUUGACCGGGCACCAUGGGACUGAGAUACGGCCCAGACGCCUAUGUGAGGCAGCAGUCGGGAAUAUGGCACAAUGGGCGGGAGCCUGAUGCGGCAACGCCGCGUGCGUGAUGACGUCCUUCUGGUGGUAAACCGCUUUCUCCUGUGCCGAAGCGUGCUUGACGGUAAUGGGUAAAGAAGCACCGGCUAACUACGUG